rnacentral:rRNA from 1 species
UGGGGGAUAUUGGACAAUGGGGGAACCCUGAUCCAGCGACGCCGCGUGAGUGAAGAAGUAUCUCGGUAUGUAAAGCUCUAUCAGCAGGGAAGAAAGAAAUGACGGUACCUGAGUAAGAAGCCCCGGCUAACUACGUGCCAGCAGCCGCGGUAAUACGUAGGGGGCAAGCGUUAUCCGGAAUUACUGGGUGUAAAGGGAGCGUAGACGGUGUGGUAAGUCUGGAGUGAAAGGCGGGGGCCCAACCCCGGCACUGCUCUGGAAACUAUCAGACUGGAGUGCAGGAGAGGCAGGCGGAAUUCCUGGUGUAGCGGUGAAAUGCGUAGAUAUCAGGAGGAACAUCGGUGGCGAAGGCGGCCUGCUGGACUGUAACUGACGUUGAGGCUCGAAAGCGUGGGGAGCAAACAGGAUUAGAUACC